rnacentral:lncRNA from 1 species
CUUUAUCUUAUAGUGCUAUCUAUGAUCAUUUAGGGUUGAAUUUGAGAAGCAGAAGCGGUAGAAGAUAGAUGUUAAAAGAUUCCUUGGAGUUCCCAUUAUGUCUUACAGGGUUAAGGACCUGACCUAGUGUCUGUAAGGAUGAGGGUUCGAUUCCUGGCCUCACUUAGUAGGUUAAGGAUCUCAUGUUGCCACAAGUUGUGUCAUAGGUCACAGAUACUGCUCAGAUCUGGCGUUGCUGUGACUGUGGUGUAGGCUGACAGAUACAGCUCCAAUUCAACCCCUAGCCCGGGAAUUUCCAUAUGCCCACAAGUGUGGCCAUAAAAAAAGAAAAGAUUUCUUGCAGAGAAAUUUUUCUUUCUUCAAGGAACUUCAGGAGUUCCUAUUGUCACACAGCAGAAACAAAUCCAACUAGGAACCAUGAGGUUGUGGGUUUGAUCCCUGGCCUUGCUCAAUGGGUUGAGGAUCCAGCGUUGCCGUGAGCUAUGGUGUAGGUCGCAGAUGUGGCUCAGAUCUGGCGUUGCUGUGGCUACAGCUCCAACUCGACCCCUAGCCUGGGAACCUCCAUAUGCCACGGGUGCAGCCCUAAAAAGGACAGAAGACAAAAAGAAAAAAAGGAAAUUCAGGUCUGUGUUUAAAGCCUACAACUGAUAGAAUCGGGCCAUUCAUAUUAUCUAGGAUUAUCCCCGUUACUCCACUGAUGAUGGACUUUAAUGGUAUCCACCAAGGAUCUUCAUAUCAACACCUACACAAGUGACACACUGAAUAACUGGCAACUGUAGCCUAGCCAGGUUGUUACAUCCAAAAGACCAUCAGGACAUGGAUGUGCCAGGCACUGUUCUAAGGAUUUCAUACAUCAUCUCAUUUAUUAACCUCACAAUAACCCAAUAAAGAAACUGAGGUACAGAGUAACAGAGUAAAUUGUUCUGGUUUCCAGUAAAUAAAUACUGGAACGGUAUGUCAGCUCAAAGGAUCUGGUUCCAGAGAUCAUGUUUCCACCAUGACUUUGCUGAUUGUCUUUGGAUUCCAUCUUGCCAGGUACUUUUUAAACAUAUUUUCUAGAAUGUUCAAUGAGGUUUUGUCAAGGGCAAACUUUUUCCUAUCAAAAUCUCUCUUGCCCUCCUCUAAGAUACAUUCCAAUUUCUUUCUUGGCCAUGUUCAUUUCCUACAUGUUCAUGACACUUCUGAGAAUCACUACUGCAAUUACCCUCAUCAUUAAUAACAAUAGAUAUAUAUUAAUUUCUUUACCCAGUACUAACAAAUUUUGUUUAACCUCAUUGAGAACAAACGUACUGAUAAUCUGUUUUAUAGGUGGAACAAAAAGGCUCAGUUAUUCCAAAAGUCUUCCUAAGCUGACAGAGGUAGAAAUGUUACUUCAGGCAUUCUAGAUGGAAUUGUUCAAUUGUUCUAUGAAUCAGAUGAAGUUUCUGUUCACUGCUUAGAAAUGCAAGUGAGCAAUGGAAACAACAGUUAGAAGAAAAAAAAAAAAAGGCAACCAGGACCCAAGUUCACAAAUACUCUGAAAAUUAUUUGGGAAUUUAAUAAUUUUAUAUAGGAUUUUUUUUUCUCCAGAAGUAAUGGCUGAGGAGAAGAAAAAUCUUUCAUUUGUGUCAAGAUUCUGUGGUAGUUGAAGAAAAUGUUGAUGGCCACACUUGGCAUGUUUUUCCAAGCUGUCAAGGGUGUGAGGAGAUGGGCUGUACGUGCCUGUCCUGCUGACCUUCACGAGCCCGUAAGGUAAAGACCUUAGCAGGCAGGUGUGAGCACUCCUGAAUAUGUUUACCAACUGGAGAGAACAGCUUUUACAAUACUGCCACGCUGACUU